GUUUGUACAAGUUUCUAGGUCGACCUGUUUUGGCUAGAAGUGUCUAACUUUGAAAAAGUUGCCUUAGAGGUGUUGGUUUAAACAAGCCGAAUACAUGAGCAUUUGACGUGGCACAGUUUAAUGGCAUUCUUUAAAAAAAUGAAAGUAGCCAGGAUGCCGAAAGAAGAGUCUAAAAUAAGGAAAGCUGCAUCAGGCACGAGGAUCCCACGAGGAGAUGCGUCAACAUGCAUGUUUUGUAAAUGAAUCGGCUUAGUGAUGUUGCAUUUAUGCUUGGCAGUCCUUCAGGUCAUCAGUGCAUGCAAAGGGCUCAAUGCUUGCCGUUAUCAGGUGAGCACAUCAUUAUUAUUAUGACACGUUAGUUGUUUGACACAUAUUUGGUUAUUACAUUGUUUCGAAUUUGUUAUUAUACUUUUGCUUUGAUGCUUGAAAAUGAUUGCCAUGGGCUGAAUGUAACUUCAACUAUUGCCAA